rnacentral:rRNA from 1 species
GCUACACAUGCAAGUCGGAGGAGAAGCCGAUCUUCGGAUUGGUGGAGACUGGCGCACGGGUGAGUAACGCGUGGGAACCUGCCCAGGGGUGGGGGAUAACCGCUGGAAACGGCGGCUAAUACCGCAUACGCCUUAUGGGGGAAAGCCUUAUGGUGCCCUUGGAUGGGCCCGCGUUGGAUUAGCUAGUUGGUGGGGUAAAGGCCUACCAAGGCUGCGAUCUAUAGCUGGUCUGAGAGGAUGAUCAGCCACACUGGGACUGAGACACGGCCCAGACUCCUACGGGAGGCAGCAGUGGGGAAUAUUGGACAAUGGGCGCAAGCCUGAUCCAGCCAUGCCGCGUGGGUGAAGAAGGCCUUAGGGUUGUAAAGCCCUUUCACUGGUGAAGAUGAUGACGGUAACCAGGGAAGAAGCCCCGGCUAACUCCGUGCCAGCAGCCGCGGUAAUACGGAGGGGGCAAGCGUUGUUCGGAAUUACUGGGCGUAAAGGGCGCGUAGGCGGGAGAUCAAGUUAGGGGUGAAAGGCCUGGGCUCAACCUGGGAACUGCCUCUAAAACUGGUUUUCUUGAGUUCGGGAGAGGAUGGCGGAAUUCCCAGUGUAGAGGUGAAAUUCGUAGAUAUUGGGAAGAACACCGGUGGCGAAGGCGGCCAUCUGGCCCGACACUGACGCUGAGGCGCGAAAGCGUGGGGAGCAAACAGGAUUAGAUACCCUGGUAGUCCACGCCGUAAACGAUGUGUGCUAGCCGUUGGGGCCUCUGGUCUCGGUGGCGCAGCUAACGCGAUAAGCACACCGCCUGGGGAGUACGGCCGCA